UACGGGGGUGGCAAGCGUUACUCGGAUUUAUUGGGUGUAAAGGACAGGUAGGCGUUCCAACAAGUUAGAAGUGAAAUCCUAAGGCUUAACCUUAGAACUGCUUCUAAAACUGCUGGAAUUGAGGCUGGAAGAGGAGAGCGGAAUUCCCGGUGUAAGGGUGAAAUCUGUGGAUAUCGGGAGGAACACCAGUGGCGAAAGCGGCUCUCUGGUCUAGCUCUGACGCUAAUCUGUGAAAGCUCGGGGAG
rnacentral:rRNA from 1 species